UACGUAGGGGGCGAGCGUUGUCCGGAUUUAUUGGGCGUAAAGAGCUCGUAGGCGGCUUGGCAAGUCGGGUGUGAAACCUCCAGGCUCAACCUGGAGACGCCACUCGAUACUGCCAUGGCUAGAGUCCGGUAGGGGACCACGGAAUUCCUGGUGUAGCGGUGAAAUGCGCAGAUAUCAGGAGGAACACCGGUGGCGAAGGCGGAUCUCUGGGCCAUUACUGACGCUGAGGAGCGAAAGCGUGGGGAGCGAACAGG
rnacentral:rRNA from 1 species